rnacentral:rRNA from 1 species
GAUGAACGCUGGCGGCGUGCCUAAUACAUGCAAGUCGAGCGAACAGACGAGGAGCUUGCUCCUCUGACGUUAGCGGCGGACGGGUGAGUAACACGUGGAUAACCUACCUAUAAGACUGGGAUAACUUCGGGAAACCGGAGCUAAUACCGGAUAAUAUAUUGAACCGCAUGGUUCAAUAGUGAAAGACGGUUUUGCUGUCACUUAUAGAUGGAUCCGCGCCGCAUUAGCUAGUUGGUAAGGUAACGGCUUACCAAGGCCACGAUGCGUAGCCGACCUGAGAGGGUGAUCGGCCACACUGGAACUGAGACACGGUCCAGACUCCUACGGGAGGCAGCAGUAGGGAAUCUUCCGCAAUGGGCGAAAGCCUGACGGAGCAACGCCGCGUGAGUGAUGAAGGUCUUCGGAUCGUAAAACUCUGUUAUUAGGGAAGAACAAAUGUGUAAGUAACUAUGCACGUCUUGACGGUACCUAAUCAGAAAGCCACGGCUAACUACGUG